CCUACGGGGGGCAGCAGUAGGGAAUGUUCGGCAAUGGGGGGAACCCUGACCGAGCAACGCCGCGUGAACGAAGAAGUUAUUCGGAAUGUAAAGUUCGUUUAACAGGGAAGAAAGAGAAAUUUGACGGUACCUGAAGAAUAAGCCCCGCUAAACGACGUGCCAGCAGCCGCGGCAAUACGUAGGGAGCGAGCGUUAUCCGGAAUUAUUGGGCGGAAAGGGUGCGGAGGUGGCAUAGUAAGUCUUGUGUAAAAAUGCUGGGCUCAACCCAGUAGGGCAAAAGAUACUGGCAAGCUAGAGUCUGGCAGAGGCAUGUGGAACUCCAUGUGUAGCGGUGAAAUGCGUAGAUAUAUGUAAGAACACCAGUGGCGAAGGCGGCUUGCUGGGUCGAUACUGACAUUGAGGCACGAAAGCGUGGGGAGCAAACAGGAUUAGAUACCCGUGUAGUC
rnacentral:rRNA from 1 species